rnacentral:rRNA from 1 species
UACGUAGGAGGCAAGCGUUGUCCGGAAUUACUGGGCGUAAAGCGCGUGUAGGUGGUGGGACAAGUCUGCUGUGAAAGCGCCUGGCUUAACCGGGCGAGGUCGGCGGAAACUGUCCGACUCGAGGACGGUAGAGGGAAGUGGAAUUCCCGGUGUAGUGGUGAAAUGCGUAGAUAUCAGGAGGAACACCAAUUGCGAAGGCAGCUCGCUGGGACGAUACUGACGCUGAGACGCGAAAGCGUGGGGAGCAAACAGG